rnacentral:rRNA from 1 species
GACGAACGCUGGCGGCGUGCUUAACACAUGCAAGUCGAACGGAAAGGCCCUGCUUUUGUGGGGUGCUCGAGUGGCGAACGGGUGAGUAACACGUGAGUAACCUGCCCUUGACUUUGGGAUAACUUCAGGAAACUGGGGCUAAUACCGGAUAGGAGCUCCUGCUGCAUGGGGGGGGUUGGAAAGUUUCGGCGGUUGGGGAUGGACUCGCGGCUUAUCAGCUUGGUGGUGGGGUAGUGGCUUACCAAGGCUUUGACGGGUAGCCGGCCUGGGAGGGUGACCGGCCACAUUGGGACUGAGAUACGGCGCAGACUCCUACGGGAGGCAGCAGUGGGGAAUAUUGCACAAUGGGCGGAAGCCUGAUGCAGCAACGCCGCGUGCGGGAUGACGGCCUUCGGGUUGUAACCCGCUUUCGCCUGUGACGAAGCGUGAGUGACGGUAAUGGGUAAAGAAGCACCGGCUAACUACGUG